ensembl:lncRNA
GGGGAGCUCAGGAGUUAAUCGCGUACAGCAGGACGAAAGGUGACAGAGUCCGAGCUGACAACUGUUUUAAAACAACUAUUUCAUCCUCCUCUCGCGGUUGUCCCUCAUCAUACUCGCGUGCUGACGAAAUCCCUCACUUCUGGGAAAAGGAGUGUAACCUGGAACAUUAAGGGAGACAUGGAGCAAACAUGAGGAGACAGGCUGAGGAGACAAGGAUGAAACACAAGGAGAGGAACAAAGGAACAGGAACCAGAAUCGAUGGACUGGACUGCUUACGGUGAACAACCAGUUCCUGGCCGUGCUGCUGGACCAUCUGUCUCCUCCAUGGAUGACGACGUCACCCCAAUGGAGAUAGACUAAAAGGUUCAGCAUACCAAAAGUGAAAGAAGAGGAUGACAAUCAUAACAUUUCUGCUUGGGCAAUUACAGUUGAUCCUGCAACAAUUUGGUUUUUGUUUUUUUUUUUAGAUAAUUUUGUAAAUUUCAUUUCUCAAACCCUAAGCUGCUGUAAUCAAGUGUUACUAUAAAAGCAAGUAGAAGUCAAUUUUUUUUAAUGCAGCAGCUAAUUUCUUCCUGUUGGCUUUAAAGCGGGUUGACGGACCUUUUUUCACAAGAAUAUAUCUUGAAAAGUACUUGAUAUAUGAAACUAAAAUUACAUAGUACAUAUUACAUAUACAUAUUACAUACAUAUAAAAUUACAUAGUACAUAUUACAUAUUUUGUACAAAUUUUAAAGACAUUACACAGAUUUGGGACCAAUCAGGAAAAAUAAUCUCUAACCCAGCUCAAAUUAAUUAUGUUUUUUAUGCUAUUUUAUAAACCCCUUUAUAAAUCUGAAUCACAGUAGUAAAACUCAAAUAAAAUACUUUUCUUUUGGGAACUUAAGCUUACCAAGGGUAGGCCAAUGGUAAUAAAAAAUUAGAUGCUCCAAUAUAUAUGUCCAAACUGAACCAUAAUAUGUCUAUUGCAAAUUGGAGAAUGUUCUAGAAAUUUAAAUAGAUUAUUAUUUUUAUUCUAAUUUGAGUACAGUUUUUGAGAUGUUCAUUUUCAAGCAUUGCCAUAUAUAGCAUCUGAUAUGCAUUUUUUCCCCUUUUUUUGUGACAAGUAUUCUAUAUGGUUUAUUUUUUGGUAUUGUAAAAUUCAACUACAUAUCAUUCAGAAAUUAAAUUGCUGUGAACAAACAUUGGACUUUUUUUUCAUAUUUUAACUAGCCAAAACUUGAUGGUAAAAAACAACAAGAGAAAAUACAGACUUUUAUCUUUAAUGGAGUUUGAAAUAUUUAUGUUCAAAUACUGAACAUUGAUGUGUUCUUAAAGAAGACCUGAAAGUGGGUCAGUGGAAAGUUUUUCCAAAAAAAUAAAACUGAUAUGAUAUUAUUGAUGCGA